rnacentral:tRNA from 1 species
GCGGGUAUGGCGGAACUGGCAGACGCAAUGGAUUUAGGAUCCAUCGGGUUUCCCGUGCAGGUUCGACCCCUGUUACCCGCACCA